rnacentral:rRNA from 1 species
GGGUGAGUAACACGUAGGUAAUCUACCUUUGGAUGGGGAAUAACAACCGGAAACGGUUGCUAAUACCGCAUAAUGCAGCGGCACCUAAUGGUGACAGUUGUUAAAGCGGGGGAUCGCAAGACCUCGCGUCUGAAGAGGAGCCUGCGGCAGAUUAGCUAGUUGGUAAGGUAACGGCUUACCAAGGCGAUGAUCUGUAGCCGGCCUGAGAGGGCGGUCGGCCACACUGACACUGACAUACGGGUCAGACUCCUACGGGAGGCAGCAGUCGGGAAUUUUGGGCAAUGGGCGAAAGCCUGGCCCAGCAACGCCGCGUGAAGGAUGAAAUCCCUCGGGAUGUAAACUUCGCAAGAACGGGAAGAAUAAGUAAGAGUUAACAUCUCUUACGAUGACGGUACUGUUUGUAAGCUCCGGCUAACUCCGUGCCAGCAGCCGCGGUAAUACGGGGGGAGCAAGCGUUGUUCGGAUUUACUGGGCGUAAAGGGCGCGUAGGCGGCCUCUGCAAGUCGACUGUGAAAUCUCCGGGCUUAACCCGGAAAGGUCAGCCGAUACUGCAGGGCUAGAGUGCAGAAGGGGCAACUGGAAUUCUCGGUGUAGCGGUGAAAUGCGUAGAUAUCGAGAGGAACACCUGCGGCGAAGGCGGGUUGCUGGGCUGACACUGACGCUGAGGCGCGAAAGCUAGGGGAGCGAACGGGAUUAGAUACCCCGGUAGUCCUAGCCUUAAACGAUGAAUGCUUGGUGUCUGGGGUUUUAUAGUCCCCGGGUGCCGUCGCUAACGCUUUAAGCAUUCCGCCUGGGGAGUACGGUCGCAAGACUGAAACUCAAAGGAAUUGACGGGGACCCGCACAAGCGGUGGAGCAUGUGGUUUAAUUCGACGCAACGCGAAGAA